rnacentral:lncRNA from 1 species
UCAGGGGACAGUACACGAGAAAUGCCACAAUACAUGAUGAAGCCAUCAUCUCCAAUGGGAAUUUUGGAGGGGACAAAGAACUAACAUGUUCCUGCUGGCUUGCAGGGGGAUCGCGGGAAGGAUGGCUUGAAAGGCGAAAGAGGUCCUCCAGGCCCAAAGGGAGAACCCGGUCCACCAGGCAAAGGAGUGGAAAUGAAGGAUCUGGAGAGGCUUUUUGAAGCAAAUGGUAUCAAGCUGGCACUGCUGAAGGACCUCUCCAAUGCACUCCUGCAGGAUGGGCUGGUGUGGCAACUGGGUGGCUCCAGGACAAGCAAGACCUCCGGGAGAAAGCAAGCAGUUCUUCAUGCUACUGAGCAUGGCGAUUCACUGGUGUUUGAUACUUCUCCUGAUGCCCUGGCCAGCACUGAGGCAACAGAAGAAGCACAGAGCCUGGAGGUGGAGGCUCAGUUUAGGGUGCCGGUGUCUGGAGGACUCCUUAAGGGUCCGUCUGCUGGUGGUUCUGAACCUGAGUACCAGCCCCUAGGAAACCCUCCUGAGUCCUUGGAGAAAACAUCUGAGGAAGGAAAGGAGGAGAGAGACUCAAGAUGGACAAUCACUUCUCUCAGUAGUAGCUUGGCUUUGCCCCCACUGCACCCAGAAGAUGAUCUGCAAGGAAACCAGUCCAUGGAGCUUCUUGAGUCCCUGGAGGGGAGAGUGGAAGGACAACCACAGCAGGACACUGGCCACGAAAAUGAGAAUUUAGACGACGGCUCUGCGCUCCCAAGGCUCAUUAGAGCCCAGAGAUCUGCUGAGGACCAGAGGCACAUGGUAAAGACCCCGUUUCACCACGACAGCUUCGGGCUGGCCUUUGUGCAAGAGCAGAGCCAUCGGUGUGACCCAGGAGGAAGCGGCGACCCUUCCUUGUUGGCUCCAUCACAGGUUCAUCCCCCUGGUGCCCCGGGAGCUCGGAAAUCCCCAUCUGGAUCCACGGUGAGUGAAGACCUCAUAGAAAGGUGUCUUCAAACACAUGGAUGCAAGGGCAAUCCCACUUGCCUCCUUUCACUUGUGCAAAGUCAGGAUGAAAGUAGAGGGG